rnacentral:rRNA from 1 species
AUUGAACGCUGGCGGCAUGCUUUACACAUGCAAGUCGAACGGCAGCGCGGGGCAACCUGGCGGCGAGUGGCGAACGGGUGAGUAAUAUAUCGGAACGUACCCAAGAGUGGGGGAUAACGUAGCGAAAGUUACGCUAAUACCGCAUACGAUCUAAGGAUGAAAGUGGGGGAUCGCAAGACCUUAUGCUCCUGGAGCGGCCGAUAUCUGAUUAGCUAGUUGGUGAGGUAAAGGCUCACCAAGGCGACGAUCAGUAGCUGGUCUGAGAGGACGACCAGCCACACUGGAACUGAGACACGGUCCAGACUCCUACGGGAGGCAGCAGUGGGGAAUUUUGGACAAUGGGCGCAAGCCUGAUCCAGCAAUGCCGCGUGAGUGAAGAAGGCCUUCGGGUUGUAAAGCUCUUUUGUCAGGGAAGAAACGGUAGGGGCUAAUAUCCUUUGCUAAUGACGGUACCUGAAGAAUAAGCACCGGCUAACUACGUGCCAGCAGCCGCGGUAAUACGUAGGGUGCAAGCGUUAAUCGGAAUUACUGGGCGUAAAGCGUGCGCAGGCGGUUUUGUAAGUCUGUCGUGAAAGCCCCGGGCUCAACCUGGGAAUUGCGAUGGAGACUGCAAGGCUUGAAUCUGGCAGAGGGGGGUAGAAUUCCACGUGUAGCAGUGAAAUGCGUAGAGAUGUGGAGGAACACCGAUGGCGAAGGCAGCCCCCUGGGUCAAGAUUGACGCUCAUGCACGAAAGCGUGGGGAGCAAACAGGAUUAGAUACCCUGGUAGUCCACGCCCUAAACGAUGUCUACUAGUUGUCGGGUUUUAAUUAACUUGGUAACGCAGCUAACGCGUGAAGUAGACCGCCUGGGGAGUACGGUCGCAAGAUUAAAACUCAAAGGAAUUGACGGGGACCCGCACAAGCGGUGGAUGAUGUGGAUUAAUUCGAUGCAACGCGAAAAACCUUACCUACCCUUGACAUGUCAGGAAGUCCGGAGAGAUCUGGAUGUGCCCGAAAGGGAGCCUGAACACAGGUGCUGCAUGGCUGUCGUCAGCUCGUGUCGUGAGAUGUUGGGUUAAGUCCCGCAACGAGCGCAACCCUUGUCAUUAGUUGCUACGCAAGAGCACUCUAAUGAGACUGCCGGUGACAAACCGGAGGAAGGUGGGGAUGACGUCAAGUCCUCAUGGCCCUUAUGGGUAGGGCUUCACACGUCAUACAAUGGUACAUACAGAGGGCCGCCAACCCGCGAGGGGGAGCUAAUCCCAGAAAGUGUAUCGUAGUCCGGAUCGCAGUCUGCAACUCGACUGCGUGAAGUUGGAAUCGCUAGUAAUCGCGGAUCAGCAUGUCGCGGUGAAUACGUUCCCGGGUCU